GGCAACUCCAGGGGCCGGAGCGUCCUGGGUUCCGGAGCCGGGGAGAGCCAGGAGGUGGGGCUCCGCUGGCGAUGGAGCCGGCAGCCUAGCAGAGGGCCUGGCACACAGUAGGUGCUCGACCAGCUAACCGAAGCCCAGAGAGGCUAAGCAGCUUGCCCUGCAUCACCCAGCUGGCUGGGGUAAAGGCAGGAACGGCGCCUCCACACUGUUUCCUGGGUGCUGAGUUGCAAGGACCCGGUCCUGGGCCUCUGUCCCAGGGUGAGACCCAGUGCUUCUGGAUCUGAUUCUGUAGUCACCACUGCCCCUCCCCAGCCUGAGCACGGCCUGGGCCCCUGACUGUGGACACGUCCCCGCUGGCCACGGCCUCCAAUCAGCCUCCAGCCGGGUCCUUCCCGCCAAGUGUUACUCUCCCCACACGUCAGAGGGGGACAGUUACGCUGACACCUUCGCAUGCCUAGCAUCAGCCUGGGCAUCGGGGUGCACCCCCGGGUGGCCAGACCAGCCCCACUCAGGAGAACUCCAAGAUGUUGACUGGCCCAAGACUCAGUCAGAAGAGGGUCCCGCCCAAGAUGCAAACCCAGACACCUUCUGAUCCAUCAGGACCUCCAUCCC